rnacentral:rRNA from 1 species
UACAGAGGUCCCAAGCGUUGUUCGGAUUCACUGGGCGUAAAGGGUGCGUAGGUGGCAGGGUAAGUCGGAUGUGAAAUCUCCGAGCUCAACUCGGAAAUGGCAUUGGAAACUACCCUGCUAGAGGGUCGGAGGGGGGACUGGAAUACUUGGUGUAGCAGUGAAAUGCGUAGAUAUCAAGUGGAACACCAGUGGCGAAGGCGAGUCCCUGGACGACUCCUGACACUGAGGCACGAAAGCUAGGGGAGCAAACAGG